UACGGAGGGUCCAAGCGUUAUCCGGAAUCAUUGGGUUUAAAGGGUCCGUAGGCGGUUUUGUAAGUCAGUGGUGAAAGCCCAUCGCUCAACGGUGGAACGGCCAUUGAUACUGCAAGACUUGAAUUAUUAGGAAGUAACUAGAAUAUGUAGUGUAGCGGUGAAAUGCUUAGAGAUUACAUGGAAUACCAAUUGCGAAGGCAGUUACUACUAAUGGAUUGACGCUGAUGGACGAAAGCGUGGGGAGCGAAACAGGAUUAGAAACCC
rnacentral:rRNA from 1 species